rnacentral:tRNA from 1 species
GACGAGGUGGCCGAGUGGUUAAGGCGAUGGACUGCUAAUCCACUGUGCUCUGCACGCAUGGCUUCGAAUCCCACCCUCGUCG